rnacentral:rRNA from 1 species
CUACGGGAGGCAGCAGUCGAGAAUUUUUCACAAUGGGCGAAAGCCUGAUGGAGCGACGCCGCGUGGGGGAUGAAUGGCUUCGGCCCGUAAACCCCUGUCAUCUGCGAGCAAAUCGGCGCGUUGAACAGACGCGCCGCUGAUCGUAGCAGAAGAGGAAGGAACGGCUAACUCUGUGCCAGCAGCCGCGGUAAUACGGAGGUUCCAAGCGUUGUUCGGAUUCACUGGGCGUAAAGGGUGCGUAGGCGGUCGGGUAAGUCUGCUGUAAAAGCUCCGGGCUCAACCCGGAAAUGUCAGCGGAUACUAUCCGGCUCGAGGGUUGGAGGGGGGACUGGAAUUCUCGGUGUAGCAGUGAAAUGCGUAGAUAUCGAGAGGAACACCCGUGGCGAAGGCAAGUCCCUGGAAAACUCCUGACGCUGAGGCACGAAAGCUAGGGGAGCAAACAGGAUUAGAUACCCCAGUAGUCC